rnacentral:rRNA from 1 species
UACGGAGGGUGCAAGCGUUAAUCGGAAUUAUUGGGCGUAAAGAGCACGUAGGCGGUUUGACAAGUCGAACGUGAAAACCCAAACCUUAAUUUUGGGAAUGCAUUCGAAACUGUCAGAAUCGAGGGUGGACGGAGAGAGCGGAAUUCCACAUGUAGCGGUGAAAUGCGUAGAUAUGUGGAAGAACACCGGUGGCGAAAGCGGCUCUCUAGUUUAUUCCUGACGAUGAGGUGCGAAAGCAAGGGGAGCAAACAGG